CUACGGGCGGCAGCAGUGGGGAAUAUUGCACAAUGGGCGCAAGCCUGAUGCAGCCAUGCCGCGUGUAUGAAGAAGGCCUUCGGGUUGUAAAGUACUUUCAGCGGGGAGGAAGGGAGUAAAGUUAAUACCUUUGCUCAUUGACGUUACCCGCAGAAGAAGCACCGGCUAACUCCGUGCCAGCAGCCGCGGUAAUACGGAGGGUGCAAGCGUUAAUCGGAAUUACUGGGCGUAAAGCGCACGCAGGCGGUUUGUUAAGUCAGAUGUGAAAUCCCCGGGCUCAACCUGGGAGCUGCAUCUGAUACUGGCAAGCUUGAGUCUCGUAGAGGGGGGUAGAAUUCCAGGUGUAGCGGUGACAUGCGUAGAGAUCUGGAGGAAUACCGGUGGCGAAGGCGGCCCCCUGGACGAAGACUGACGCUCAGGUGCGAAAGCGUGGGGAGCAAACAGGAUUAGAUACCCUAGUAGUC
rnacentral:rRNA from 1 species